UGCUCUGAUGAUUACUAGUAAUAGGAAAUGCCAUCAGAAGUAAUAACUGACAAUAUUUAUACUUGAUCUGACU
ensembl:snoRNA small nucleolar RNA, C/D box 49B